GUACUGCAAUAAAGCAGAAAUAAAUUAUUUUCAGGGAAUACAACUUUGAAAAAAAAACACUGUUCUCUAUCCCUUCUGUAACUGCAUAAUUUUAAGUCUGGAAUAGCAUGUGUAUUUAUCAGAUACCUCAAUAAAGAUUUUGAAGAGAAAGGAAACAUGGAACUAACCUUUAACUGAGAUCCAGGAACUGUGACUUUUAGAGGUAUCACCUCAUGUAAUCCUCCUAAAAUCAUGACUUAGUAUUAUUUUUAUUUGUAGAUGAAGAAACAGGUUCAGAGAGAUGCCUCACCCAGGUUAUAACGGUGACCCAAGCCUGACCGCAGAAUCACCUACCAUGUGCCUUACAUCUUGACUCUGAACCCCAGAAUCAACAAGGAAGAGAAAGUGGCUCUGGAGAAAGAAGACCAGGCUCCUGAGGCUUCAGGGCGAGGAGAAGGUUUCAGAGAUUCUAGAAACCAAAGGAGGCCAAGUUUGUAUGUUUCUACUUAUAUAGAGAAUAAGCACUAAAUUUCCUUGCGUAUCCUGAAUUGGGGGUAUUUCUGAAGGAAAAUUCCUAGAAGUGAAUUACCUGGUUCAAAGGUGAUUUAAUUUAAAAUCGACACAUUUCAUAAAACUCUCAAGAAGUACAUACCAAGCAACAGUGUAUAUACCAGGGAUAAUUCCCCAACUCCCUCAUCAAUACUGAGCAUUAUUAAACUUCUAAGUAAAAGCUGGAGUUGCAGCAUUAUUUUAAGGUGCUUUUCUUUAAUAAGAGUGAACAUUUUCCCUUGUUUAUUAGCCAUUGUGUAUUUCUUUUGUAGGAUGUGCCUUGUCCAUUUACUUAUCUGUAAAUAGUCUGCAUAAAAGAAAUUAUCCCUUUACUGUAAGUAUUUUCCUAGUUUAUCAUGUCUCUUGACUUUAUGGUAUGUAUGUGUACAUAUAUAUGUGCUUUUUUUCCACACACAGCUAGUUUAUGUAAAAAUUAGAAACUUAAAAGGUAUUUUCCUUAUGACGGUUAUAUAUUAUGCUUUCCCGCUCCAUUACUUUUUAAAGCAGUCAAUAUUUUUUUCCUAUGAUUUUGAGGAUUUCAUUCUUUUUAUAUCUGUACUUUUUUGGGGGGAGGGGCAGAGGGAAAGAGAUCUUUAAACAGGCUCCAUGCCCUGGGUGGCAGAGCUCCACUUGGGGCUCAAUCUCACAGCCUUGGGAUCAUGCCCUGAGCUGAAACCAAGAGUCCGACGCUUAACCAACUGAGCUGCCCAGGUACCUCUUUAUAUUUGUAUUUUUACUCUAUCUGGUAAAAAGAGACAGGGAUUCAGCCUAUUUUUUUCCACUCCAAAUGGAUAGUUCAGUUGUCUCUGCAACUUUUUUUCUCACUGAUCUGUAAUGUUCCCUUUAGCAUUACUAAAUUUUGUGUUUAGAAAUCCAUUCUGGACUCUGUUUUAUUUUUAAAUUUUUUUUAGGCAAUCUCUAUCCCCGACAUGGGGCUCAACUCAACUCAACAUGGGGCUCACACUCUUCCAACUGAGCCAGCCAGGCACCUCGGACUCCCUUCGAUUCUCUACAGGUUCCAUCUGGUAUGCUCCCCUCAACAUGAAAACUCAGCAAGUGCUAAAGGAGAUUCUGUGACAUACACAAAAUUACUGGGCACACUAUUCGGCCAUCAGGAAGGUUUUUAAAAAGUGUUUCUGGCAAACUUACCCAAUGAAAAGUUGACCUCUCUAGAAGUGCAACAAGUCGAGAGCUGGUCUCCUCUUCACCACACCCUCUAUCCUGACGGCUGCCCAAGUGUUCCGGUGCCUUUCUACAGGCAAAGCUCUACCCUGUUUCUCCCUAUUUCUACUUUCCAUUGGCUGUAUCUGCUUCUUGCCUCUCUGGAAAUUCUACACUAACCCUACAUUUUACAGCUGCUCCUGUAAAUUACUCUAUCUUUGAUGAAUAUCACUUGGGCUAAUUCCUGCUGCUUUUGCCUCCUGCAGCCUCCAGCUACCCCAGCUUCUCAGAUCGGACGGACUCCUUUUGUUCUUAAUUACUGUUUGUUCAAUCAUCAGCUUUCUCACCCCUUCAUCCAGUGCCACUCAGUCAGUUCCUCAACCAUCCUGUUCCCUCUGGUCUGUGUUAAACCCCACGACUCCUCAGACUUCAGUGCUCCCAUCUCUUCCACCUGUCCCUGCCUAUUUCCUCUUCCUACCAUCACCUCUUCUGGCCGGUCUACCCAAACCUGCCUGCUCCCAGGCCUCAUUAUCAUACCCUAAUAACCUCUUACUUAAAACAAAAACAAAAACAGGAAUUGUACAAAAUCCACUUCUCAAACCCCGAACUCUAUUAUCUAUGUGCGUGUCUAGUACACAUUCGUCUACUACUAUGUAGGAGUGCAUGCAUCUUCCUUGAGUAUAAGCACUUUAAAAAAAUGUUCACAUCUUAAAAAUAUUCUCCUAAAUGUUAAAAGGCAAACAAAAACAUAUGGAAAAUUGUUAGAGUAACACUAUAGGGGCGCCUGGGUGGCUCAGUGGGUUAGGCCUCUGCCUCUGGCUCAGGUCAUGGUCUCAGGUUCCUGGGAUCAAGCCCCACAUCGGGCUCUCUGCUCAGCAGGGAGCCUGCUUCCCCUUCUCUCUCUGCCUGCUUCUCUGCCUACUUGUGAUCUCUCUCUGUCAAAUAAAUAAAUAAAAAUCUUAAAAGAAAAAAAAAAAAAAGAAUAACACUAAAUCCAGGACAAAUACAUCCAGAGCAGGAAAGAGAUAAAGAUCUGCAGGCUUUUCUCUGGCAGACUUACCA